rnacentral:rRNA from 1 species
GCCCAUCAGCUAGCUCACACACUAAAGUAAAUAUUCCCUAUUUAUAUCCUAGUAUAACCUAAACCUAAAAAACAAAACAUUUAACCGUUUUAGUAAAGGCGAUUGAAAUAAGAAAUGGAGCUAUAACAAAGUACCGCAAGGGAAAGCUGAAAAAGAAAUGAAAAAAAUCAGUAAAGCACAGAAAAGCAAAGAUUUUUCCUUGUACUUU